rnacentral:rRNA from 1 species
AGUGGACGCUGGCGGUAGGCCUAACACAUGCAAGUCGAACGGCAGCACAGUAAGAGCUUUCUCUUACGGGUGGCGAGUGGCGGACGGGUGAGGAAUACAUCGGAAUCUACUUUUUCGUGGGGGAUAACGUAGGGAAACUUACGCUAAUACCGCAUACGACCUACGGGUGAAAGCAGGGGAUCUUCGGACCUUGCGCGAUUGAAUGAGCCGAUGUCGGAUUAGCUAGUUGGCGGGGUACAGGCCCACCAAGGCGACGCUCCGUAGCUGGUGUGAGAGGAUGAAGAGCCACACUGGAACUGAGACACGGUCCAGGGUCCUACGUGAGGCCGCAGUGGGGAAUAUUGGCAAAUGGGGGCAAGCCUGAUCCAGCCGUACCGCGUGGGUGAAGAAGGCCUGCGGGUUGGAAAGCCCUUUUGUUGGGAAAGAAAAGCAGCAGGUUAAUACCCCGCUGUUCUGACGGUACCCAAAGAAUAAGCACCGGCUAACUUCGUG